AGAGUGAGAGUGCUUUGAAUAUUGUGGACUCUCCAUGAUCCCUGUUGGAGGUUUGUCUUCCUACACCGCGGGCUUUUUUGAAGAUACCAGCCGCGGUGUAAUAGUUCAUCUUGUGCAGACGGAGUAUCAUCAGUUUCUGCGGGGAGUAUGCUUUCAGAUGCUUUUUUUAAGAUUUGUCUUUCAUUUUUUGUUACAUUGUGGGCAUAUGGACCCUUAGACACUUUGUUUUAUACAUUGUGUCUGGGGCGGUCUAUUUUGCCUACUUUUGUAUCCAUAUUUGUACGGCUGUAUUUACCACUCUUAGGAUCACUUUCUGUCAAUCAG